rnacentral:lncRNA from 1 species
AAUCCCUGCAUUUCCUGCACAGUCAGGGUGUCCCAGGAAGCUCUGAUCCCUUCCCCUGCAAAAACCCCAGAAUACUCUCAAACAACAGGAAUAGGGGCUUCUGUGGCGCCCUCCACACCCCUCUCUUGGCCACCGGAGAGCCUUGAGCUCCCACCACCACCACCACUCUCUCCAGCGGCUGGAACCGCCAAAGCCCGGUGUGGCGAGGGGUGCAGAAUCUGCUGCCCGGCGGGUCUGGGCGGGACCUUCUAGGCCGCAGGCACCUCUUGGAAAAAGAAAAGCGAUCCCUCCUUCAGGGACUAAGGUAGAGAGGCGGUAGGAAAAGGAGGGCAGUGGGCGUACGCACUAGCCAGCUGGAAAGAAAGUGUAGCCUUAGAAGUCUGGGACGCGUUCGGCCCCAGGGGUGGUAAGACAGGCUCCCUCCCCCGCCCCAUACAAGCCCCGCCUGGAUUGCCCGCCUGGGUCUGGAGUACUGGGGGUCACCUCCCAGCCUCCUGACCCUUGGACUCCACGGUAGGGCGAGAGUGGACCCCGCGUCCGAGGACCAAACCGGAGCGUGGGCCUCCACUUCUCUGCAGAAGAGCCACGAAGGUGUACAAGUGUUUCACUGCUGUGUACGGUGUGCACCACAUGCGUGCCUGAGGCCUA